UCUCUUGUUCAUCUAAAUCAAUUUUUUCUUCUGCUAAAAUCGAGAGACAACUGGGGGAUUUUUAUCAAAUCAAACCUAAUUAACGUUAAUCGUGGUUGUUUAUAAGAGAUUGAAUCAUUGGAUUAAAGAUUUAGUGGUAGUGAAGGUGACGAGGCGCAAAAGACAGUUUAAAGAGAGGGAAGGAGAUACAGGGGUUCACGAAUCACCAGCAACUGCAUUUCAUGAAUCACCAGCAAGGUGUUUGAGAAAAUGCGUGAGAGACAAGUUCUUCCUGAGUUGAAAUCUCCGCACAGCAGCUGCAGACAAGUUUACAGGUACCCAAUCUCCGAACUGUAACAUUUGGUAUCAGAGCCAGGUUUGUCUCCGGAUGAUGAAGCAAAGAAAGCAUCAAAGGACCAUGAGAUACCAUUCGAAACUUUUAUGGAGAAAUGGAAAAACUCAAUUGCAAAUAAGUUGAAUGUGUUGAUUGAGCAGUUUCAAAAGUUUAUGGAACUACAAACUAAUCAGAAGGCCGAAUGUUCUACAAAUGUAAAACGAACAUCAGGUGCUCGACCAAUUACUGGAGGUAGAAUUCCUCAAAAUUUUUGUUUCUGAAGCUCUUAGACCUGCAUGAGUAGUAUUAGAUUUUCCUUGUUUUGUGAUAGGAGAAGAUCCAACUAUAUAUAUUUGUAAGGCAGAGCAAUGGUUCAAACUCCAUGAAACUCCACUAGUAGACCAAGUUCCUUUGGUAGGGUUCCACCUCGAAGGAGAUGCACAGUUUUGGUACCAUCUAUUGAAACAAGAGAUUAUCUAUAUUUCUUGGGAUGAGUAUAAGGAGAACUUGUAUGUUAGAUUUGGUCCAAAUCAAUACAUGGAUUUCUUCGGGGAGUUGUCAAAGCUAAGACAGACCACCACCGUUCAGGACUUCCGUAUCAAGUUUGAAAAAUUGUUGGCUAAGGCAAGGCCAAUACCUUAAAUUCAGCAGGUCGGUAUGUUUACUAGUGGUUUGUUUCCUAAUAUUCGUACUGAUGUUCAAGCAAACAAACCCACUACCCUUGCAUAUGCCAUUAGUCUAGCACGUCUCUAUGAGACUAGAGAUGAAUCACAUAUGAAACAGACACCUAGUUAUUCAAAAAUCAAUCAAGUGCCUCGUCAUUCUACUACCCAAAAUACUACAGUUAACAUACAAAAUUCAGUAAGCACCAUUGUGAGGAGAAUGACUACUGAUGAGCUUAAUGAGCGAAGAAGACAAGAAAUUUGUUUUAGGUGUAAUCAGAAAUUUGGGCCUGGUCACUGCUGCAAGAAAUUAUUCAUGAUUCAAGCUUAUAUUGAAGAUAGUGAUGAUGAUAUUGAAAUGGAAAUCGAAGUUGAUAAUGUUGUCGACCAAAAUGAUGAGACACCUGAAAUUUCCUUGCACGCAAUUGUUGGAACUCUAGCACCUCAGACCAUGUGAGUGCAAGGUAGUAUCUGUAAUAAGGCUAUCACAGUACUCAUAGAUUCUGGAAGUACUCACAAUUUUAUAAGUGAAAGGGUAGCGCAGAAGGUGGGAUUGCGGCCUGUUUCAGUGGUCGAUUGGAGGAGAUGGUGGCAUCAGGUGAGAAGCUAAUCAGUUUUGGUAAGUGUUUCCAAACCCUAUUAAGCUUACAAGGAUUUCCUAUGCUAGUUGAUUUUUAUGUUUUACCUCUGGAGGGUUGUGAUGCUGUCUUGGGAACUCAAUGGCUGAGUACACUAGGACUCAAACUGCAUAUGCGAAUCAAUGUGGAUGGAAAUGAGGUAAUUCUGCAAGGGUUAUCGACACCGGAAAAUGUGGUGGUUAAUGAUGUGAAAAUCCAACAUGUUGCAAGUAAGAAGAGGGAAGGCCUUUCUUUGCAAUUAUAUUCGUUAACAGCUGCACCAACUAAUUCUUUGCAUCGUCCUAAUGCACAAGUACAUGGGAUUCUUGUUAAAUAUCAUAGGGUGCUAGAUCAAACUCAAGGACUUCCUCCUAAACGUGAACAAGAUCAUAAGAUUUCGUUCUACCAUGGACAAGGACCUGUCUCUAUCAAGCCGUAUUGUUUCCCUUAUUUCCAAAAAACUGAGAUAGAGAAGUUGGUUGAUGAAAUGUUGUCUACUGGGGUCGUACGUUUGAGUAACAACCCGUACUCAUGACCAGUGAUCUUAGUUAAGAAGCAUGAUGGUUCUUGGCGGAUGUGUGUCGACUAUA